AUGAUGUUAGGUGCUUGCAUUUAACUGAUUUAACAUUGAGACGAGUGGCGAACUGGUGAGUAACACGUGGGUAACCUGCCCUGAAGUGGGGGAUAACACUUGGAAACAGGUGCUAAUACCGCAUAACAACGAAAACCACAUGGUUUUCGUUUGAAAGAUGGCUUCGGCUGUCACUUUUGGAUGGACCCGCGGCGUAUUAGCUUGUUGGUGAGGUAACGGCUCACCAAGGCCAUGAUACGUAGCCGACCUGAGAGGGUAAUCGGCCACAUUGGGACUGAGACACGGCCCAAACUCCUACGGGAGGCAGCAGUAGGGAAUCUUCCACAAUGGACGAAAGUCUGAUGGAGCAACGCCGCGUGAGUGAUGAAGGGUUUCGGCUCGUAAAACUCUGUUGUUGGAGAAGAACAGGUGAUAGAGUAACUGUUAUCAUCUUGACGGUAUCCAACCAGAAAGCCACGGCUAACUACGUGCCAGCAGCCGCGGUAAUACGUAGGUGGCAAGCGUUGUCCGGAUUUAUUGGGCGUAAAGCGAGCGCAGGCGGUUUUUUAGGUCUGAUGUGAAAGCCUUCGGCUUAACCGGAGAAGGGCAUCGGAAACCGGGAGACUUGAGUGCAGAAGAGGACAGUGGAACUCCAUGUGUAGCGGUGAAAUGCGUAGAUAUAUGGAAGAACACCAGUGGCGAAAGCGGCUGUCUGGUCUGUAACUGACGCUGAGCUCGAAAGCAUGGGUAGCGAA
rnacentral:rRNA from 2 species